rnacentral:sRNA from 1 species
UAGUUGGUGUGAUCUGCACUCUGGCGUUC